rnacentral:misc_RNA from 1 species
CCUAGAGUUGUAGGCUUUGCCUGCUAUCUCCUUACCCAUGUCUUUUGAGUACCUUCGUUUCCUCGGCGGGUCCGCCCGCCGAUUGGACAAUUUAAAACCAUUUGCAGUUGCAAUCAGCGUCUGAAAAAACUUAAUAGUUA